rnacentral:lncRNA from 1 species
GGAAUGAGCUGCUGCCCCCAAACUACCAGCUUGCUGUGAUAGCUAACUGCUUUUUUGAGGUCAUCGUCCAUUGUCUCAGUGAUGGCUGGGGAAACCUGUAUCUGAAGGGAAGGAAGUCACUGCCUCAUAAAGGAGGUCUGCAUUAGAUGCCUCUCCUACGGGCUCACAGCACUCCUUCUACUUCUCCUCUUAAUCGCUGUUGUUAAUUUCCUG